GGGAUUGUAGCUCAACGGUAGAGCACUCGUCUAGCAUGCGUGGGGCCCUGUGUUCGAUCCUCAGCACCA
rnacentral:tRNA from 1 species